rnacentral:misc_RNA from 1 species
AACGCACCUUGCGCCUUUUGGUAUUCCGAAAGGCAUGCCUGUUUGAGUGUCAUGAAACAUCAACCCCCCAGGUUUUUCGCUUGGGAAGGUUGGAUCUGGGCGCUGCCGCCUGCUCGUCUGCGGGCCGGCUCGCCUCAAAAGCGUUAGUGGGAUACCGCAUAGCCCGACGUGAUAAGUUUCGUCUGGUGAAGCGCGACGCCUGCUUUACCCCAAUUUCAUUUGUACUCUGACCUCAAAUCAGGUAGGACUACCCGCUGAACUUAA